rnacentral:snRNA from 1 species
AUACUUACCUGGACGGGGUCAAUGGGUGAUCAAGAAAGCUUAUGGCCUAGGUUGGCGACCUCCAUUGCACUUUGAGGCGUGCCCGCCUAACAUCUCCCUAACUGGGAGAGUGUACGUCAUAAUUUGUGGUAGCGGGGGUACGCGUUCGCGCGGCCCUUA